UAAGGAAUAUUGGACAAUGGUCGCAAGACUGAUCCAGCCAUGCCGCGUGCAGGUAGAAGGCCCUAUGGGUUGUAAACUGCUUUUGUAUGGGAAUAAACCCCUCUACGUGUAGAGGGCUGAAUGUACCAUAAGAAUAAGGGUCGGCUAACUUCGUGCCAGCAGCCGCGGUAAGACGAAGGACCCAAGCGUUAUCCGGAUUCAUUGGGUUUAAAGGGUGCGUAGGCGGAUUAAUAAGUCAGUGGUGAAAGCCUGCAGCUUAACUGCAGAACUGCCAUUGAUACUGUUGAUCUUGAAUGUGUUUGAUGUGGGCGGAAUAUGACAUGUAGCGGUGAAAUGCUUAGAUAUGUCAUAGAACACCGAUUGCGAAGGCAGCUCACAAAGCCACUAUUGACGCUGAGGC
rnacentral:rRNA from 1 species